AGUCAGGAUGGGAGCCUAUUCCACUGAUCCUACAGCUGUCUCUUCCUCAUAUCCCCAGGGCCGUUGGCCGCUCAACAUAAAAUGAAGAUCCCGAACGACGAAUGGUCCUCGACGACAGAGAGCACCACCACCACCGCCACCACUCGCCGGCCACUGGACAUCAAGGAAGCCGCCCGUGCUGAGCGGGAGCCUGCCCAGGGAUAAUCGUGGAUCACCCAACAAGGCCACGGCCUCGACUGCAGCCCACCGGCAUACCGAGCUGGCCCGUCCACCACCGCUGGA